rnacentral:rRNA from 1 species
CCUCCUUGUGUCCUCCUUUUUUCCUCUUUCCCCCUUCUUUCCCCCCUUCUUCAGCGACUCCUCGUGAGUGAAGAAGUACUUCGUUACGUAAAGCUCUAUCAGCAGGGAAGAAAAUGACGGUACCUGAGUAAGAAGCCCCGGCUAACUACGUGCCAGCAGCCGCGGUAAUACGUAGGGGGCAAGCGUUAUCCGGAUUUACUGGGUGUAAAGGGAGCGUAGGCGGUGCGCAACGUCUGUAGUGAAAUGCCGCAGCUUAACUGCUGAAUUGCUUUGGAAACUGGCGAACUAGAGUGCGGGAGGGGUGAGCGGGAUGCCGAGUGUAGCGGUGAAAUGCGGAGAUAUUAGGAGGAACACCGGUGGCGAAGGCAGCUUACUGGACCGUAACUGACGUUGAGGCUCGAAAGCGUGGGUAGCAAACAGGAUUAGAUACCCCUGUAGUC